GCCGAAGUGGUGGAAUCUGGUAGACACGCUAUCUUGAGGGGGUAGUGUCCCAUGGGCGUGCGGGUUCGAAUCCCGCCUUCGGCA
rnacentral:tRNA from 1 species